UCAGGUUCAACAGGGCUCUGUAAGUAUGUGGGUGUUGGGAAAAGAGGGAAGUUAGCAAGGACGACUAAGCCUAUGUAUCUUGGUUUUUGACACAUUUUGACAAAAUUGUCCAGUUCAGGAGUAUUAUAUGUGGAUGGUAGGUCAUCCUAUAGACCUUGUUGAUGCUCUCUGGGGUGGGUAGAUUUGUUGUUAUUGUAAUAGCUGAGUAGGUCUGUGCAUUUCAGUUUCAGAGCUGCCAGCUAGCGAGGGUAUACCAUGUCUAUACAUGUUUCAGUGUUGAAUGUGUUAGCAGAGUCCGUAGGUUUGUGGAUGUCAAAGUUUAAGAGUGUUUGCGCUGUCUGGAGGUUCUGGAGGUCUGGAGGUUCUGGAGGUCUGGAGGUUCUGGAGGUCUGGAAGUUCUGGCGGUCUGGAGGUUCUGGAGGUCUGGAGGUUCUGGAGGUUCUGGAGGUCUGGAGGUCUGUAGGUUCUGGAGGUCUGGAGGUCUGGAGGUUCUGGAGGUCUGGAGGUUCUGGAGGUCUGGAGGUUCUGGAGGUCUGGAGGUUCUGGAGGUCUGGAGGGUCUGGAGGUUCUGGAGGUCUGGAGGUCUGGAGGUUCUGGAGGUCUGGAGGUUCUGGAGGUUCUGGAGGUCUGGAGGUUCCGGAGGUCUGGAGGGUCUGGAGGGUCUGGAGGUUCUGGAGGUCUGGAGGUUCUGGAGGUCUGGAGGUCUGGAGGUCUGGAGGUCUGGAGGUUGCGAGGGGAUGAUGCUUGAUGUUCAGUGGUGGUUUGACAACUGAGCCUCUUUUCUCUCUCUGUCUCUCUCUCUCUCUCUCUCUCUCUCUCUGUCUCUCUCUGUCUCCUCUCUCCUCUCUCCUCUCUCUCUCUCUGUCUCUUUCUCUCUCUGUCUCUCUCUCUC
ensembl:lncRNA